UGGAAGGGGAGAUUUGGAGGUACCUGGUCAGGUCUUGUUCAGCCUUCAAAUCCCAGAUGUGGAGACUGCAGGGAUACCUCACAGAGAAGACACUAAAGAGUCAUCUCUCAUUCAUCGAGUGGACUCAUUGGUUUGCGUAUUACCACAAAGAUGCUCCCAUAGGCAGAUUGCUGCAUGGCAUUCACCACUUAUUCAAAUUGAAGAGGUUGAAGCAGUCUUCCUUGUGGUCACUUGCCAUAACAAUGUCAUGUGUUUUAUGAAAACACCAUCAGUAACAUUUAAAUUGAGUUGAUGUGGACGGCUCUUUUUUUUGUCCGAUUUCUUCAGUGUUCAGUGCCUGUUUGUGAGAUAUGCAUUGUUUGAAAGAUAAGCCUUUGAUUUUGUUUAAUUUUAAUAUGCCUUUCAUCAACAGUGGUUUGGGGUUUUAUAACAACAAUUAAAGUGCUUAACUACUGGUGAACGAUGUUGCAGAACAUAUAUAGUUUGUGUUGAUUGCAUGGAAAAGGGAAAAACCAGUUACAACUUAUAUGGUAAGAGCCUGGUAAUACCAUGGAAACAAACUAGGCUUCCUUUUACAGUACAGUUUCAGCUUACUUACUGGGUAAAUUGUUGUGUUUUACUUGAUAACGUCGCAGAACGUACAUGGUACAAGUUUGUGUUGACUGCAUGGAAAAGGGAAUAAUGUAUUACAAAAUAUGGUAAGAACCUGGUAAUACCAUGGAAACAAACGAGGCUUCCUUUUACAGUACAGUUUCAGAUUAAUUACUGGGUAAAUUGUCGUGUUUUACUUGGUAACGUCGCAGAACGUACAUCAUGGUACAAGUUUGUGUUGACUGCAUGGAAAAGGGAAUAAUAAAUUAUAUGGUAAGAACCUGAUAAUACCAUGGAAACAAACAAGGUUUCCUUUUACAGUACAGUUUCAGCUUAAUUACUGGGUAAAUUGUCGUGUUUUACUUGGUAACGUCGCAGAACGUACAUGGUACAAGUUUGUCUUGACUGCAUGGAAAAGGGAAUAAUAAAUUAUAUGGUAAGAACCUGGUAAUACCAUGGAAACAAACAAGGUUUCCUUUUACAGUACAGUUUCAGCUUAAUUACUGGGUAAAUUGUCGUGUUUUACUUGGUAACGUUGCAGAACGUACAUGGUACAAGUUUGUGUUGACUGCAUGGAAAAGGGAAUAAUGUAUUACAAAUUAUAUGGUAAGAACCUGGUAAUACCAUGGAAAUAAACUAGGCUUCCUUUUACCGUACAGGUUCAGCUUAAUUACUGGGUAAAUUGGUGUGUUUUACUUGGUAACGUCGCAGAACGUACAUGGUACAAGUUUGUCUUGACUGCAUGGAUAAUGGAAUCUAUUAUAAAUGAUAUGGUAAGAACCUGGUAAUACCAUGGAAUCAAACGGCUUUGUACCCAGUAUUUAAGAAGAUGUACCAUAACACUAGAGGAAAACUUUUCCUGCAGAGGUUGUUACCAGAUAAGUAAUUCCACAGUGGUAAAUCGAAUAAACCCUUUCUAAAUGGGUGCAGCUACGAAUAAUAACUAAGAAAAAGUAUUUCAUUGGAAAGCACUAUGCUAAUUUCUAGAUAGUACAUCAUUAAACUUGGGCUGUUAACAACAUAAACCUUGGAUAAUAGGUGUUUAUAAGAAUUGGUUGCCUAAUUUCCUAGGAAGUACACAAUAUCGGAGUUAUUACCAACCUAAAACAGUUACAACUACACACUACUUAGUUGAGUUGAUGGGUAAUAGUGGAGGUUUUACUUGGUACUUCAGCUGUAAUUCCUCUGUAUUUACCUUCUUAUUACCAGUGGUAAUUACACAGUAAUACACUAUAAUUUACCGGAUAAUUUCUCUGUAUUUACCUUCUUAUUACCAGUGGUAAUUACCCAGUAAUACACUAUGAUUUAUCAUGUAUUUGCUGGGUAACUACCUCUGUAUUUACCUUCUUAUUACCAGUGAUAAUUACCCAGUAAUACACUAUGAUUUACCAUGUAUGUACCGGGUAAAUACCUAGUAAUUAGGGGACUGUAAAAGGAAGGGUUACCACAUAAGGUAUAACUCCGCUCCAACGCGGUCCCGGGGUGUGUUCCUGGCGAUCCCUGGCGGCGAUCGCCAAGCAGUCCAACAAACCACAAGUCUUUAAACAUUAAUUAUACUCUGCUCCAAGCGGUCACAGGAUGCUUUCCUGGCGAUCUCUGGCAGCGAUCGCCUCUCUCUCUCUAAUCACCAUUCCUCCUACUACAAGACAAAGCAGGCACGUAAUUACACACUCCUGAUUGGUCUGAUUGCGAGCAGACUGCCCGCAAUCAGACCCAUCCCCCCCCCCCCGCAGAUCCAGUGUGCUCCCAACAUGCCCAUACUCCCCCUAAAGGCCAGACGUGGCACAUCCCCCCACACACCCCACAUCCGGCCGCCAACUCACUCCCCCCCCCGGAACGGGAGAGGAAGUCCACCACGGCCAUCUGCGCCCCAGUCCUGUGCACCACCCGGAAAUUGAAAGGUUGCAACGCAAGCUACCAACGGGUUAUCCUCGCAUUGACUUCCUUCAUUCGAUAGAGCCACUGGAGGGGGGAAUGGUCGGAGUAGAGGGUGAACGUGCGACCCAACAGGUAGUAGCGAAGGGCGCCGACCGCCCAUCGGAUGGCGAGACACUCCUUCUCCACCGUGCUGUACCGAUCCUCCCGGUCUGACAGUUUGCGGCUCAGGUAAGGCACCGGUCAGUCGGCCCCCUACACCUGCUGGGUCAGGACCGCGCCCACCCCCCUGUCCGAUGCGUCUGUCUGCAGGGAAAAAGGGAGAUAAAGUUAGGAACACACAGGACCGCUUCCCCGCAGAGGGCUGUUUUAAUAGCCUCAAACGACACUUGGCAUUCCUCCAACCACUGGACUGUACCUGGGGCCCUCUUACGGGCGAGGUUUUUCAAGGGGCUGGCUAGGUCCGAGAAGUGCAGCACAAACUGCCGGUAGUACCCCUGACUCACAGAGAGGUCCUGGAGGGGGCCUGGUGCCGGGACUUCCGGACCGAGCUCCUCUCUCUCCGGUAGCGUCGUCACGAAAGCGACAGGGACCGCAUUGUUCCACCUCGUAAGGAGGUUGAUGUGAUAUAUCUGUUUGUUUUCGCCCCUGUCCAACCGUGCUACCUCGUAAUCCAAAUCCUCGACUCGCCGUGUGACCACAAAGGGUCCUUGCCACCUCGCGAGUAAUUUGGUGCUAGAGGUGAGCAGCAGUACAAGGACCUAGUCCCCCGGUGUAAGAUUGCGUAAUCUAGUCCCUCUGUCGUACAGGCGUCUCUGACUCUUCUGGGCUCGGUGCAGGUGCUCUCGUGACAAUACCCCUAGUGAGUGAAGCUUUGCACGCAAGUCCAUGACGCACUGUAUUUCGUUUUUGCUGUCACUCCCAGUUUUCUUUAAUGAGGUCCA
ensembl:lncRNA